ensembl:lncRNA
GCCAAAGAACUUGCUGCUGAUGGCAUAACCCAGUCGUCCCACUCUGGUCCUGCUCCCUAUUUGCUUGGGCUUCCCCAGUGGCUCAGCGGUAAAGAAUCUGCCUACUCUGCAGGAGACUGGGGAGACAGAGGUUCAAUCCCUAGGUGGAGAAGAUCCCCUGGAGGAAGGCAUGGCAACUCAUUCUCGCCUGGAAAAUACCCAUGGACAGAGGAGCCUAACAGGCUACAGUCCAUAAGGUCACGAAGAGUCAGACACAACGAGUCAGACAGGAUUGAAGGGACUUAGCAUACAUGCACAUACUUUUCCCUGUUCUCUGUAAUGCACUAAUAAAAUUAGGCAUUCCACUGAAAUCACUAUGAAAGAGUUCUCCUGCAUAAUAAUAGACUUCAAUGCCAGUCCAUAGUGUAAGAAGCACUUUUCCAUACUUAAAAGCAUUACAUUAUAUAUUAUUUUGCAUAUGUUCCAGCGACAGGCA